UCUUAAUCAGCAAGCCAUGAAAACUGCUGAGAGUGAUUCAUCCGCACCGGGUAUGCUUUUAUAUGAUUGAUUUCGACAUCGCUUAAUACAACUUUCUACUCUUCCAUCAUGGAAAGUGCACGUAAUCAGGGAUUCAUGGCUUCAAUCGAAUGAGCUAUAACCAAACCAGGGGAUUCGAUAUAAUCAAGGCUUCGAUUUACGUUUAAAGGUACAUCCUCUUUCAUCUUAUGUAUUGUGUGUAUAUUUGUGCCUUUGUUUUGGUUUGUUUGUAGAUAAUUUCUCAAUAUCGAUUUUGUAUGUUGAUGCAUUUGUAAGUUUUGAAUGACCUCUGGCCUCUUCCUUAGUCUCUCGCAGCUUGGCCUCUGUCCAAACUCUUUCCUGUGGCUGUCUAUAAGUCUCUUCCGAGAAACUUUGGUAAAACUCUGGAUUCGGCCAUCUAUUUCAUUUCGGUUAGGACUUUUCAAUUGAUUAUAGGUAUUGAUUUAAGGCUUCUUCAAAUUAUGGCUUUCUUAACCAAUUGCUUGACUGCGAUUUACAGGUCCUUCUGAUUGUGUCAAAUUAUCUCUAUCGUUUUGACCUGUUAAUGUUGUCACAGUCAUCAGUAGAACUCCGCUCGCUAACUACCACCAGGAUUUGUCGGGAGCUUUCAGUGCUGCUUCCAGUGAGACUGUAGAAGCGACAUUGUGGGGGAGUACUGAGCAUGUUCUCCAAGAACCAUGCUUCCUGUCUACCAGAAACUGAUAGCUGGUGGCAUUCAAAUAUGGGUUUUUUAGGUAAAUAUAGUAGUCUUCCUCCGCAUAUUUUUAUCACACCUCUCAGAGGCCAACACAAUCACAUUGGUGGAAAUAAUGGGGAUUCAAAUGAUAAAUAUAUAAAUUUAAUUGGGUUGACAUUUUAGGUGAUGUAGAUGUAACGUAAUAAACACCAGAAUUUCGUAAUGCAUUAUACCACCAGUAAUUGCCAUAAGGUUAAAUGAGGGGUCUGCUGGUAUGGAAUGUUUUUGAGGUAAGAAUUCUUUCGAGUGGCUGUAGGUGUGCCGAUACUGAGGUUCCACCUUUCAAGCAGCCACCCUCACACUGAUCUUUUGAUGUGAACCUGUCUUUCAAGCAUCUUUGUAGGAGCAUCCGACCUUUCAUGUUUAUUUUCUUUGUUAUCUGAGGUUCCACGGAGAUCAAUAAGCUUUAUCUUGGAUUCUGUACACCUUAACAUAUCACUCAUCACUGUCUUAGUAGCAGGAGUAGUGGACAUAUCCGGGACAGAAUCAGUAGAGUACAUUUCAUCAAUCUCAUCAUCAGUUCUAUCAUUAGCUCUUUUCAGGGACUUGCAAGCAAAACUUUUUUGUAUACUUUGGUGAGAUCACAGGACUUUGGGUCGGAUUUCGUGACGGAUGAAAAAAAUACCCAGAAGCCUCUUUUAUGGAUUCCAAGCUCAGCUUCUCCGAUAACAAGGAGAAUGAUACCGGUCGGAAACAAUGCUGGACUAAAAUUUCGAAUGAAAAUGCACUGGAGCACACGCGAAAUUCCCAUGGUACUGCUCUCAAUAGGUAUCUGCAUGAUCGGAUGAUUAGG